UGACAGGUUAUUUCCCAAAGUGCAAAGCAGU
rnacentral:piRNA from 1 species